rnacentral:rRNA from 1 species
AGGAUCAACGCUGGCGGCGUGCCUAACGCAUGUAAGUCGAACGCACAGCCUUCGGGUUGUGAGUGGCGAACGGCUGAGGAACACGUACGAACCUGCCUGUUUGUGGGGAAUAACGCGCCGAAAGGCGUGCUAAUACCGCGUACGCUCAUCUUCGGGUGAGGAAAGCCUUUGGGCGCAGACAGCGGGGCGUGCGGCCCAUCAGGUCGUUGGUGGGGUAAUGGCCUACCAAGCCUUUGACGGGUAGCUGGUCUGUGAGGACGAUCAGCCAGACUGGGACUGCGACACGGCCCAGACACCUACGGGUGGCAGCAGCGAGGAAUCUUCCACAAUGGGCGCAAGCCCGAUGGAGCAACGCCGCGUGGAGGACGACGGCCUUCGGGUUGUAAACUCCUUUCGGAAGGGAUGAAACGGACAGUACCUUCAGAAGAAGCCCGGCUAACUCUGUGCCAGCAGCCGC